GUGAGGAAUUUUCCGCAAUGGGCGAAAGCCUGACGGAGCAAUGCCGCGUGAAGGAUGAAGGCCUAUGGGUUGUAAACUUCUUUUCUUAGAGAAGAAUAUUGACGGUAUCUGAGGAAUAAGCAUCGGCUAACUCUGUGCCAGCAGCCGCGGUAAGACAGAGGAUGCAAGCGUUAUCCGGAAUGAUUGGGCGUAAAGCGUCUGUAGGUGGCUUCAAAAGUCUCCUGUCAAAGAUCAGGGCUUAACCCUGGGCCGGCAGGAGAAACUCUGAGGCUAGAGUUUGGUAGGGGCAGAGGGAAUUCGCGGUGGAGCGGUGAAAUGCGUAGAGCUCGGGAGGAACACCAAAGGCGAAAGCACUCUGCUGGGCCACAACUGACACUGAGAGACUAAAGCGAGGGGAGCAAAAGGGAUUAGAUACCCUAGUAGUCC
rnacentral:rRNA from 1 species